GGAUUGCAAAAUCAGAUCCAUCUCAGAAGCUGGAUGGAGUAUCCGCAGAGGUGCAGGUAUCUGAUGCAUCUGAAAAGUUCACUCAACCAGCCUGACGGAGGAGAACUAGCUGCUAGUUCAUCAAGGAGUGUCUGCAGUGGUUGGGCAGCGGACGGCGCGUGCAAACGAGGAACUGCAAGCGGAGAAGAUAGGGGAUGGAUGUAUAUCGCGAGGAAGAAGAUGGGUAGACUGGUGGUGGGUGCUGGUCCGCAAUAAAUGGU